rnacentral:rRNA from 1 species
UUUCGCAAUGCCCGAAAGGGUGACGAAGCGACGCCGCGUGGGUGAGGAAGGCCCUCGGGUUGUAAAGCCCUGUCAGGAGUUAAGAAAUGUAAGUGCGCUAAUAUCGCAUUUAUUUGACGAAGGCUCCAAAGGAAGUCACGGCUAACUCUGUGCCAGCAGCCGCGGUAAUACAGAGGUGGCAAGCGUUGUUCGGAAUUAUUGGGCGUAAAGAGCACGUAGGUGGGUUUGUAAGUCAGAUGUGAAAGCCUUCUGUUCAACGGAAGAAUUGCAUCUGAAACUACGAGUCUUGAGUGUAGGAGGGGAGAAUGGAACUUCUGGUGGAGCGGUGAAAUGCGUAGAUAUCAGAAGGAACGCCGGCGGCGAAAGCGAUUCUCUGGCCUAUUACUGACACUCAGUGUGCGAAAGCUAGGGGAGCAAACGGGAUUAGAUACCCCGGUAGUCCUAGCCGUAAACGAUGGGCACUAAGUAGAGGGGUUUU